GAACGGGUGAGUAAUGUAUCGGAACGUGCCUAGUAGCGGGGGAUAACUACUCGAAAGAGUGGCUAAUACCGCAUACGCCCUACGGGGGAAAGGGGGGGACCGAAAGGCCUUGCGCUAUUGGAGCGGCCGAUGGCUGAUUAGCUAGUUGGUGGGGUAAAGGCCUACCAAGGCUACGAUCAGUCGCUGGUCUGAGAGGACGACCAGCCACACUGGGACUGAGACACGGCCCAGACUCC
rnacentral:rRNA from 1 species